GGCUGAUGUGAAGAGGCCUGAAGAUAACUUGAGACCGGAAGGACCCUUUGAGGGAAGACCUAAGGACGAUUACAAGCCAACUAGAGGGGAAAGGGCCGACGUGAAGAGGCCUGAGGACAAUUUGAAGCCCGAAGGACCGUUUGAGGGAAGGCCUAAGGACGAUUACAAGCCAACUAGAGGGGAAAGGGCCGACGUGAAGAGGCCUGAAGACAAUUUGAAGCCCGAAGGACCGUUUGAGGGAAGGCCUAAAGAUGAUUUUUCACCGAAGAUAGCCGAACGUCCUGAAGU